rnacentral:rRNA from 1 species
UACGGAGGGAGCUAGCGUUGUUCGGAAUUACUGGGCGUAAAGCGCGCGUAGGCGGCUUUGUAAGUUAGAGGUGAAAGCCCGGGGCUCAACCCCGGAAUUGCCUUUAAGACUGCAUCGCUAGAAUUGUGGAGAGGUAAGUGGAGUUCCGAGUGUAGAGGUGAAAUUCGUAGAUAUUCGGAAGAACACCAGUGGCGAAGGCGGUCUCUGGACGGUGACUGACGCUGAGGCGCGAAAGCGUGGGGAGCAAACAGG